AUUGAACGCUGGCGGCAGGCCUAACACAUGCAAGUCGAGCGGUUGAAGGGAGCUUGCUCCCUGAUUCAGCGGCGGACGGGUGAGUAAUGCCUAGGAAUCUGCCUAUUAGUGGGGGACAACGUUUCGAAAGGAACGCUAAUACCGCAUACGUCCUACGGGAGAAAGCAGGGGACCUUCGGGCCUUGCGCUAAUAGAUGAGCCUAGGUCGGAUUAGCUUGUUGGUGAGGUAAUGGCUCACCAAGGCGACGAUCCGUAACUGGUCUGAGAGGAUGAUCAGUCACACUGGAACUGAGACACGGUCCAGACUCCUACGGGGUGCAGCAGUGGGGAAUAUUGGACAAUGGGCGAAAGCCUGAUCCAGCCAUGCCGCGUGUGUGAAGAAGGUCUUCGGAUUGUAAAGCACUUUAAGUUGGGAGGAAGGGUUGUAGAUUAAUACUCUGCAAUUUUGACGUUACCGACAGAAUAAGCACCGGCUAACUCUGUGCCAGCAGCCGCCGUAAUAC
rnacentral:rRNA from 1 species